CCUACGGGAGGCAGCAGUGAGGAAUAUUGGUCAAUGGGCGUAAGCCUGAACCAGCCAAGUAGCGUGCAGGAUGACGGCCCUAUGGGUUGUAAACUGCUUUUAUACGGGAAUAACGCGCGUCACGUGUGGGGCUUUGUAGGUACCGCAUGAAUAAGGACCGGCUAAUUCCGUGCCAGCAGCCGCGGUAAUACGGAAGGUCCGGGCGUUAUCCGGAUUUAUUGGGUUUAAAGGGAGCGUAGGCCGCAUGUCAAGCGUGCCGUGAAAGGGCCGGGCUCAACCCGGGCCCUGCCGCGCGAACUGGCGUGCUUGAGUCCGCGGAAAGCAGGCGGAAUUCGUCGUGUAGCGGUGAAAUGCUUAGAUAUGACGAAGAACACCGAUUGCGAAGGCAGCAUGCUGCAGCGGAACUGACGCUGAUGCUCGAAAGCGCGGGGAUCGAACAGGAUUAGAUACCCGAGUAGUC
rnacentral:rRNA from 1 species